CGAACGCUGGCGGCGUGCUUAACACAUGCAAGUCGCACGGAAAGGCCCUGCUUUUGUGGGGUGCUCGAGUGGCGAACGGGUGAGUAACACGUGAGUAACCUGCCCUUGACUUUGGGAUAACUUCAGGAAACUGGGGCUAAUACCGGAUAGGAGCUCCUGCUGCAUGGUGGGGGUUGGAAAGUUUCGGCGGUUGGGGAUGGACUCGCGGCUUAUCAGCUUGUUGGUGGGGUAGUGGCUUACCAAGGCUUUGACGGGUAGCCGGCCUGAGAGGGUGACCGGCCACAUUGGGACUGAGAUACGGCCCAGACUCCUACGGGAGGCAGCAGUGGGGAAUAUUGCACAAUGGGCGGAAGCCUGAUGCAGCAACGCCGCGUGCGGGAUGACGGCCUUCGGGCUGUAAACCGCUUUCGCCUGUGACGAAGCGUGAGUGACGGUAAUGGGUAAAGAAGCACCGGCUAACUACGUG
rnacentral:rRNA from 1 species